rnacentral:misc_RNA from 1 species
GAUGAAGAACGCAGUGAAAUGCGAUACGUAAUGUGAAUUGCAGAAUUCAGUGAAUCAUCGAAUCUUUGAACGCAUAUUGCGCUCUCUGGUAUUCCGGAGAGCAUGCUUGUUUGAGUAUCAGUAAACACCUCAACUUCCAUAUCUUUUUUGAAAUGGGAGUUGGACUUGAGUGACCCCAACGCUUUUCCUCACCGAAAAGUGGCGGGUUACUUGAAAUGCAGGUGCAGCUGGACUUUUCUCUGAGCUAUAAGCAUAUCUAUUUAGUCUGCCUAAAAAACAGAUUAUUACCUUUGCUGCAGCUAACAUAAAGGAGAUUAGUUCUUGUGCUGACUGAUGCAGGAUUCACAAAGACAGGCUUCGGCCGACUUUGUAAACUCGAUCUCAAAUCAAGUAAGACUACCCGCUGAACUUAAGCAUAUCAAUAAGCGGAGGA